GAUGAACGCUGGCGGCGUGCCUAAUACAUGCAAGUCGAGCGAACAGAUAAGGAGCUUGCUCCUUUGACGUUAGCGGCGGACGGGUGAGUAACACGUGGGUAACCUACCUAUAAGACUGGGAUAACUUCGGGAAACCGGAGCUAAUACCGGAUAAUAUUUCGAACCGCGUGGUUCGAUAGUGAAAGAUGGUUUUGCUAUCACUUAUAGAUGGACCCGCGCCGUAUUAGCUAGUUGGUAAGGUAACGGCUUACCAAGGCGACGAUACGUAGCCGACCUGAGAGGGUGAUCGGCCACACUGGAACUGAGACACGGUCCAGACUCCUACGGGAGGCAGCAGUAGGGAAUCUUCCGCAAUGGGCGAAAGCCUGACGGAGCAACGCCGCGUGAGUGAUGAAGGUCUUCGGAUCGUAAAACUCUGUUAUUAGGGAAGAACAUACGUGUAAGUAACUGUGCACGUCUUGACGGUACCUAAUCAGAAAGCCACGGCUAACUACGUG
rnacentral:rRNA from 1 species